rnacentral:lncRNA from 1 species
AAUCCAAUAGGCCCAAUAAGAAUAGGGGAGUGUGAUGAAUGCAUAUUUAUGCCCAUAUUUAUGCUUUAAAAUUCAAAUUUUUGAUGAGAUAUUUGUGCUUAAAUGGUUGAUUUAAAGUGAAUCUAUGUGAAGUUGAAUUAUUGGGUUUUGGAAUUAAAGAGGCUUAAAAAGUGAUUUUAAUUGCAUAAAUUAUUCUUGGAUGUUCUAAUAUUUAUUUGUGCAGCUGAAGUUAGAGUUUUAUUGGUCCAAAUUGCAAUUUAAAGCCCAAAAUCAGAUUUUAUUUGAAAAAUAAUGUCCAGAUGGGCCAAAUAGGAAAUUUUUACUCUUGCACCACCAGAUUUCCCUACAUGCACCCCUCAGUUCUAAACCAGGCCAAUACUGAAGCCCAACAGUAACCCUUUUCUCCUACACCUCCUAAGUUUCCUAUUCCUACCCCUCCCAAACCAGAGUCCAUCAGAUGUUGCCACGUGUCGCCAAUCCACCACACACAGAUUCAGCUAAUGACUUGCUGCCACAUCACUGAUCCCUGCACUUACCAAAUGAACCACUCAGAACAUGCCACCUAGCCCCUCUUGCCACGUCAUCACCAUCUCCAACAGAAACCCUAAUUCCCAAAUCCAAACCCUAGUCACCCAUGGCCGCCGUCACCAUCCUCGCUAGAACCCGAAUCCGGCAACCACAACGCCUCGACCACCAUCUUCCUCGCGUCGUUGGAGUGCAGGCCGCUGCAUUUGUCUUCUCCUCCAUCAACGAUGGCCACCACCUACAAACCCAGCAACCAUCUUCAUCCCGCAAGACACCAUGCCGCGUCGCCAAUCUCCUUCGUCUUCAUAACCUGCGAACCAGAAACGCAAAGACUACCAGCAGAUCCACCACGCCGUCGUGAGAUUCCAUGGCCAUAACCAAGAAUCGCGCUGUCCAUCACCACCGCAUCGCGCCGCAAGCAAGCACCAUCCUCCUCCACGACUACCAUGGACGCCACAGUUUCUGCAUCAACAGUCGCGAGCAAGUCGCAAUCGCACCACCACGGUCUCACUAUUUCCAGCACCUGAAAUCAAAACCAGACCUGCAACAAACAACAAGAAACCAGAGAAUCCAGAUUCGUCUUUGCCUCGCAAUCUCCAGAUCUCUCCAUGUUUCGAGCAAGAACAGCAUAACGAAGUUUUUCCUGAAUCUGCAAAGAAGACGCGCAGGGGCCAGAAUGCGCAAGUUUUUCCCUUUCCCCCAAUCUGCAAAACCCUAACUUUAGGUGAGGAAAGAGCCGACACGUGGCGGGCUCGCAUUGGAGGUUUUAUUCUGGUCAAAGCUGGUCAAUGUUGUUUGAAUCUGGUCAAGACUGGUCAACUGAGGGGUUUUUCUGCAAAUUUUAAAAGAAAGGAAGGGGCUAAAACGCAGAUAGAGGAAUUUCAGGGACAUUUGUGCAAUUUUGGAAAGUCAGAAAAGC